UACGGAGGGUGCAAGCAUUAAUCGGAUUUAUUGGGCGUAAAGGGCGCGUAGGCGGAGAUAAUAGUCAGAUGUGAAAUCCUGGGGCUCAACCUCAGAACAUGCAUUUGAAACUGUAUCUCUAGAGGGUAGGCGGAGAAAACGGAAUUCCACAAGUAGCGGUGAAAUGCGUAGAUAUCGUAAGGAAGACCAGUGGCGAAGGCGGGUCUCUGGACAGUUCCUGACGCUGAGGGCACGAAG
rnacentral:rRNA from 1 species